GUGUCAAAGGUCUGAAUACAGGCACACAGGUAAACAUGUUGGUGGCCAUUGUGUAAUGAUCUUCAUGAACCCUGUACUCGGUCAGAGAGCUCUGCAUACCAGAGCUAUGGACUUCGCUGUUACACAGGACAGUUCUCCACAAGUUGAAAACAAUUGACUGGCAAUUUGAUUAACAGGGAUCCCACGAGUCAUGGAACUUUUGGAAUAUCAUGGAAUUUUGGAAAGUCUAUUCCAGUCAUGGAAAGACGUACCGAACACAAAAUGACUCUUGAGCAGUUCAUCAAAUGCGCCAACUGCACCUGGCUGACAUGCAUGGGAUGCCGUACUUGUCGAGAACAAUGUCGUAUGUAUGGAUGGUGUUCUUCUUGGGUCCAGCUGCAAGGAGCGAGAGACAGCACCAACGAGAGAAACAGCGAUAGCCCGCCGGCGAGAGGGACAGUGCGCCACAACCCGGCUCUACGACGCAGUAUCGCAGAGCGGUCGCCGAUGUCACGAUGGACGUGAUGUCGAGGGAGGAGAUUCGGAAGGCGCAGUCGGAGGACGCCAUGCUCAGCAGAGUGUGGGCAUGGAUGGAUUGAAGCUGGCCAGCGCUCCAUCCAGAGAGCAAGGCGAUUCAUUCGCAGGCCUUUCACAGUGCUCGCACGCUCCGCUACAGCAAUACACAGUCGGAGCUCCCAUGGAGCGGUUAGCCACUGAUGUCAUGGGAACCGCUGCCGGUCACAGAAAGGGGAAAUCAGUAGGUGCUCUUCAGGAGCUGAUUGAUGCAACAGAGAGUAUGGGGAAUGAUGAUGAAGAAAAUGACACAGAGCAUGGGAUCAUGAACUUGCAGGGAUACUUCUCUUACUCCACCUGAUUCCACCGGUUGCACAAGGCCGCAAAAGACCCGGGAAGAUGUCUGCAACCAUGGCAGAGAAUCAUGUUGUCAUGUUCUUAAAGUCUGGAAACAGUGAACAAGAACAUCUGGAUGCCAUACAGGAGAGCAAGCAGCCAUACCUCCUUGCAGCUGGACCCAAGAAGAACACCAUCUAUGCACAGUACAUUGUUCUCGACAAGUACGCCAUCCCAUGCAUGUCAGCCAGUGCAGUUGGCGACUUUGAUGAACUGCUCAAGAGUCAUUUGGUGUUCGGUACGUACCGUCCUACAACAAAGUACUUCACAAUAUGUACACCUUUAUCCACGAAAUAGACGUGCAGACAGUUGUUUGUGCUGUUAAUCAGCAAUAUUCUGAUGACAAUCGGCCAACUGAUUUGGCUACAUGCCCUAGUACAAGUUCCUGUGACUUUAUUACAAAACACUCAGCUUUUGAUUUAUGUGGGUCUGCUGUGGCGCAGUUACAGAUGGCAGGUGUGGGUCAAUGUGUUGUAAAUUCAUUUGUCAAUACAAUGGAAGAAGCUGUCCAUGAAAUUCAAGCGCAAGUAAUGGAGCUUGCUUUUAAAUGUCUUUUAUCUUUAUUCUUCACUUGAUCAGGCCACAGCAACCACCACCAGCUAAUUCUCUUGCAACAGAUGUGACAUAUUUCAUGGAAAGUUUAAAGGCCACUGAGUCUGUUUGGCCAAUUGUAUUUUGUAGGCGUGAGUCUGUAUUAAGAGUUUAGAAAAAGUAUCUGAAGUAUGGGUAAGCGCUUGUUAGCGAUUGAAAAAAACUGUAAUGAUGAAGUUAAACCGGGUACAAGGCCAUAGAAGACUGGGAGGGACACGCCCACGGAAACGCAACGAGUCGCCUGCGUCUUCUACGUGGAGCCACUGAUCAGGGAAUGCCAGCCCCCCCCCCUUCCCCCCAACACACACACACACACACACACACACACACAAACACACACACACCAGCACCAUCAGCAGAGAUUGCAACAAGUGCAUGUGAAGUCUAACCAGGACGUCGAGGACGCAGGUGAGGGAUUGAGGGAUUCAUUUAUAGCAUCAUCAUGAACUACCACUGGCCAGAGGCGCCACCCGUACAUCCCUUGGCGCGUUUGGUUCAGUCCAACCAUGAUGCAGGAAUGGAAAACUGGAAAAUGGACUCAAUUUUCAUUAUUUAUAUUUUACAAACUUUACUAUUUACAAACUUCAUUAUUUACCGUUUCAUAAACCACACUCGAAAGUUAAAAAUAGCACCAAUUGUCCAUUUGACAGUAGUCUGACAAAUGGAUAAUGAAAGUUUUGAACCCAUUUUUCAUUUUUCAUGUGAAUUCUGCAAAUAGAACAAAGCACUGCAAAGCGUUACACGGACCCCUGACAACCACAUGGCUCACUGCAUGUAGUCCACUUUUACAAUAACAUGAUAAUAAUUUUCAUGCCAUGUUGAUUUCAUUGUCACCUUUCCAGGCGAUUUAGUUUGAGUGACGAAUGGGCCGGAUAAUGUUUUUGUUGUUUUUUUUGGUUGAAUUUGAUUAAGUAGUUUUUAUAGUUCAGUCUUUGGAAAUUGUAUCCUCACAGUAAACCGUUAACAGCAUAGCUUUAAUUCAGACCCAAAUAUGGAAAUCAAAUCAUCACCUUUCACUGUUUAUUCACAAGGUUGUCUCCGCCUUCGACUGAACAUGGACUUUUCAGGAAUUCUCAGAAAUACUUCUAUGAGUUUAAAGCGUUUCUACACUGAACAAAAUUAGAAACCCCCAUUGUACUGACUAGGAUGAGGACAUGCCAUACAAAGUAGAAUAGCACACUAGUGGUAAGCUACUCGUACCACAGUUUGAGAACCACUGGCCUAGCCUAGGCUACUACAUGGUCUACUGUUUCUGGCUCUGGCAAUAUUCGCAGUUUCCAUUAACAUGUUUUUUCAUUAAUUUUUGUUUUUUACUUUCUUUUUUGAAAGAUUUUGAUUGUUUGGUUUAUAAAACAGUGUAGAAUAGUCAGUGACUCCUGUUGCACAUUCCAGUCCAGUGGUGGUGGUAUUGCACAAGAAAUAGUGACCAACCACCAAUAAAACAAGAAGAAUAAGAAGAAUAACGUUCCAUCACACAACACAAUGCCACAGCUGUGGCAAGUUUCGAGGGGGUGUGCAAUUGGCAUGCUGCCUGCAGGAAUGUCCACCAGAGUUGUUGCCCGCAAAUUGAAUGUUCAUUCCUCUAUCAUAAGCCGUCUCCAAAGGCAUUUCAGAGAAUUUGGCAGUACAUCCAACUGGCCUCAUAACUGCAGACCACUUGUAACGACACCAGGCCAUGACCUCCACAUCCAUUAUCUUCACCUCUAAGAUUGUCUGAGACCAGCCACCCGAAUAGUUGCUGCUACAAUCGGUUUGCAUCACCAAAGUAUUUCUGCACAAACUCUCAGAAGCUCGUCUGACCCAUUGUUGUGCCAUUCAUCAACUGCCAUCAGAUCAUCACCUCAUGUUGCAGCAUGAUGUUGCAUGGCCCCAUGUGGCAAGGAUCUACACAAUAUCAGGAAGCUGAACACAUCCCAGUUCUUGCACGGACAGCAUGCUCACAGGACAGGUCACUUAUUGAACAUGUUUGGGAUGCUCUGGAUUGGCCUAUACAACAGCGUGUUCUUGGUCCUGCCAAUAUCCAGUAACUCCAACAGUCGGGGGAGGAGGAACAAAAAAAAAAUACUAAGAGCAAAGUAGACAUUUCUGAUCAAUUUUGAGCUACUAGACCAUGUUUUCGUUCAUCAACAGACUAAGACGGAAAAAUAUUACAUUUGUUUUGAGAUUAGAAAUUGACUUCUUCCUGGGCACUAUGUUUUGAAUAAUGUGUUUUCGGUGUAUUGUUUACUGACUGCUUCAUAGUAGAUCCUUUUCAUUGUAUUGUGAUGAUGAUUUGACAGCAGUGUUUGGUUUUAAAUCUGUUUCAAGGCAGAAGUUUGAUUUUACAAAUAAUGAGAUUUUAAG